GGUUUAAAGCCACUUCUGGAACUCUGACGCUCUGCACCCUUUCCCAGAGAGAGAACAUCCCUGACCCGGGAUUCUGGUCCCCUGAGUCACCCGUGUGCCCUGACGAGUGCCCCUGGCACCCAGGAAAGACCCUGCUCACCAGGGCUGUUGAUGUACAUGUGGAUGGGCUUCUUGUUGCUCUCGGAUUGCAGGAAGAGGAGCUGUGCGAUAACAAGGCUGGCAACGCUGUCAUCGAUCUGCAGGUGGAGAGGGCAGGGGUGUCCCCAGAUUCGGGGUGGGGAGAGAGUUUUAAGGGAGGCUGGGGAUGGGUCAGGGAACCAGGAAGGGGGACCAGAGCCCAAAGUAAAAGGGAUGGGGAAGAAUUUAGGCCCCAGAAGGGGAUGGGGAGAGAGUAGUGGAGAGGACCCAGGGGGUUUGGAGCACAGGAAGGGGGGAGUCAGGGGGCUAGGGACACAGGAAAGGAAGGGGUGAGAAUGGCUGGGGAGAGUCUUGAGCGUAGGAAUGAGGGGAGCGGUGCCAGGUGUCAGGAAGGAAGUCGGAGAUUAAGAGCCGAGGAGCAGAGAAGGGUGUUCCCACAGCUCAUCUUGGAAGAGGGGUCCCAGAGAGGACUUAGCCUGGGUCUUGGCCUUGAAGAGCUUCCAGCCUGGUGUGGCCGACUUCUACUGAGACCUCCUCAUUCAUUUUUUGGCCACCUGUGGAGUAGAUUGUGGGAGCCCAGAGAAGGGUGUUGUGGAUUCUUCCUGGAGAUCAGACCGGAAAGCAUUCCUAGGAGAAGCAGAGGCAGAGUCUCACUAUGCUGUCCAGGCUGGUUUCAAAUUCCUGGAGUCAAGCAACCCUCUUACCUUGGCCUCCCAAAGCGCUGAGAUGUCAACAGAGGGAAAGAGUUGAAGGCAGGGCUGCUCUGAAUAAUCUUGUACCAGAAUCCUGGGUCCAUUUGUGGGAGUUUCUCAGGGGGACAUAAAUCCAGGAGAUGAGUUGCUGGUUGUAGGACAUGUUCAUUUGCACCUUUACUGAAUGUGAUGGAGGCAGCCUGUUGUGGUUUAAAGAUUCAGGCUCCCUUCCCACAGGGUAAAGUGGAUACCAGGAAGUGG
rnacentral:lncRNA from 1 species